rnacentral:rRNA from 1 species
CACGUAGGGUGCAAGCGUUGUCCGGAAUUAUUGGGCGUAAAGGGCUCGUAGGCGGUCCGUCACGUCGGGAGUGAAAACUCGGGGCUCAACCCCGAGCCUGCUUUCGAUACGGGCGGACUAGAGGUAGGUAGGGGAGAACGGAAUUCCUGGUGUAGCGGUGAAAUGCGUAGAUAUCAGGAGGAACACCGGUGGCGAAGGCGGCUUUCUGGACAGAUACCGACGCUGAGGCACGAAAGCUAGGGGAGCAAACAGG